rnacentral:rRNA from 1 species
AAUAACUAUGAUUCCCUUAGUAACGGCGAGUGAACAGGGAAAAGCCCAAAUUUGUAAUCUGGCACUUUUUACAAGUGUCCGAGUUGUAAUUUGUAGAACUGUUAUCCGCGCUGGACCAUGUACAAGUCUGUUGAAAAGCAGCAUCAUUGAAGGUGAAAAUCCUGUAGAUGAUAUGGACUACCAGUGCAUUUGUGAUACGGUUUCUAAGAGUCGAGUUGUUUGGGAAUGCAGCUCAAAGUGGGUGGUAAAUUCCAUCUAAGGCUAAAUAUAAGUGAGAGACCGAUAGCAAACAAGUACCGUGAGGGAAAGAUGAAAAGAACUUUGAAAAUAGAGUUAACAGUACGUGAAAUUGCUGAAAGGGAAACGUUUGAAGUUAGUUUUGUAUUCGUUGGAUCAGCUUCGCAAGGAGUGUAUUCUGAUGAUAAGCAAGUCAACAUCAAUCUAUGAGUGUCGGAGAAGGGUUUUGAGAAUGUAGCAAUUUUUAUUAAUUGUGUUAUAGCUUGAGACUUGGAUACGAUGCUUUGGAUUGAGGAACGCGUAGUAAGCUUUGAGCGGAUUCGAAAGGAUCUCCUUACUAUGGAUGUUGGUGAAAUAACUUUAAGCGACCCGUCUUGAAACACGGACCAAGGAGUCUAACAUGCUUGCGAGUAUUAGGGUGUUGAAACCCGAAUGCGUAAUGAAAGUGAAUUUCAGAUGUGAUCCGCAAGGUGCAACAUCGACCAGUCUGGAUCAUUUAUGUGAAGGUACUGAGUAAGAGCAAGUAUGUUAGGACCCGAAAGAUGGUGAACUAUGCCUGGAUAGGGUGAAGUCAGAGGAAACUCUGAUGGAAGCUCGUAGCGGUUCUGACGUGCAAAUCGAUCGUAGAAUCUGGGUAUAGGGGCGAAAGACUAAUCGA